UACGUAGGGUGCAAGCGUUGUCCGGAAUUAUUGGGCGUAAAGAGCUCGUAGGCGGUUUGUCGCGUCUGCUGUGAAAACGCGAGGCUCAACCUCGCGCCUGCAGUGGGUACGGGCAGACUAGAGUGCGGUAGGGGAGAUUGGAAUUCCUGGUGUAGCGGUGGAAUGCGCAGAUAUCAGGAGGAACACCGAUGGCGAAGGCAGAUCUCUGGGCCGUAACUGACGCUGAGGAGCGAAAGCAUGGGCAGCGAACAGG
rnacentral:rRNA from 1 species